rnacentral:sRNA from 1 species
UAAUGGUUGCUUAAUGAAUAUGUAC